rnacentral:lncRNA from 1 species
CUCUGGCCUGCUGGCCCCCCUACCUCUGAGGAAGCACAGUUCCCGCUCAGCCCAGUCAAAACUGUUCGCUGCUCUGGCACCCCAAUGGUGGAACAAGCUCCCUCACGACGCCAGGACAGCGGAGUCAAUCACCACCUUCCGGAGACACCUGAAACCCCACCUCUUUAAGGAAUACCUAGGAUAGGAUAAAUCCUCCCGGUUCUGACGUUUUGCCUGACCUGACACUGAGCCUGCCUGCCUGACCAUUCUGCCUGCCCCUAACCUCGAGCCUGCCUGCCGCCCAGUACCAUUUGGACUCUGACCUAGUUAUGAACUCUUGCCUGUCCUGGACCUUCCUCUUGCCUGCCCCUUGUUGUUCAAUAAAUAUCAGAGACUCUAACCAUCUGCCUCCUGUGUCUGCAUCUGGUUCUCGCCUUGUGUCGUUAUAGUACGAACUGGCCAUCACUGACCCAGCAGACUCAGACCACCUCAGUCACGCUGUCUCCCUGCAGGGAGCCACCACUAAAAAACAUGAGGAGCUACUUCAGAAUCUUAUGGAAAGGUUCCAAUCUCUGGUGAAACGCCACCCCCAGUGCUUCAAGGCGUUAAUGGAGCAGUUCCGUGAAUUAUCUCACAGGCAGCAUAUCAUGUCUGAAACCUCCCAGCCACUCAGUAAUCCACCUACCAGAGGUGGGUUUGUUCAGGCUACCCCGGCUCCCUGAAAACCCUGUUUACCACCUCCGGAGCGAUAUGCUGAGGAUCCUGGAACCUGCCAGGCGUUUCUUUCCCAGUGCUCCCUUAUUUUUGAGCUACAGCCAUCUUUGUUCCUUUCAGAUCGGUCGAAGAUAGCGUGUCUUAUUAUGCUAAUGUCUGGAAGGGUGCUUUCCUGGGCUACUGCUGUUUGGGAGCAACAACCCACCGUUUGCUAUAAUCUGGAAGAUUUCAUGGCGGAGGUGAGGAAGGUGUUUGAUUCUCCGGUGCCCAGGAGAGAGGCGGCCGGAAAACUACUGAAAUGACAUCAGAACUCCCGUAGUGUGGUAGACUACGUAGUAGUCAGAUUUUCGCACAUUGGCCACCGAGAGUGCCUGGAAUACGGAGGUCCCGUUCGAUACCUUCCUUCACAGACUAUCAGAGGAGAUAAAAGAUGAGCUAAUAGCUCGGGAGUUACCUUUGGACCUCGAUUCCCUCAUCGCCCUUACCAUUAGGAUUGAUGGGCAUCUACGGGAACGCAGGAGUGAGAGGAGGUCGGGUCUUGGUCACACUCGUUCAUCCGCUGCUGCUUGCUUACCUCCGAAGGAAUCCGGAAGUCCCCGAAGGCUGCAUUUCCGAGAAGAUCCGAAGCCAACCGAGUUUUCUCGAGAAUCAUCAGCGACGGGUGAGUCGGACACACUGGAGCCUAUACAACUGGGCAGAGCUAGAUUAUCGCAUAGGGAGUGUUCACAUAGGCUGAGCUCCAACUGUUGUCUGUAUUGUGGUUCUGCGGGACAUUACAUAGCUACCUGUCCAGUAAAGAGACCUGACUCAUUAGUAGGUACGAGUACACAAAUGGGAAUUCUCUAGUUUCCGUUACCUUUACUCCCUUUUUUGUGAUCCCGAUGUGGGGAGACCAGUCUAAGUCCCUCCGGGUGCUCAUUGACUCUGGGGCAGAUGAGAGUUUUAUGGACGCUACCCUGGUAUCGGAACUAGGUAUCCCCACUCAACUCCUCUCCAUUCCCAUGGAUGCUAGGGCACUGGACGGCCAGUCCAUUGGAAGAGUUACGCACAGCACAGUUCCCAUUAAUCUGCGGGUAUCUGGUGUCAUGACGUUGGCCUCUUUUGGUACAGGGAGGACAGUUGACCCCUCCCUUUUGCACACAAUCCACCCUGUGUGUAAAGGGUCGUAAAAACUCUAAAAUUCCAGGAGAGUCUCUGGCCACAUGGCCCAUAGAGAGACACAGGAAAUUCUUCCAACUCAUAGAAUUGGAGAGCCAAGUGACAUUUUGUGUUCUGGAGAAGGUAUGGAAGAUUGGUGAAGAAUCCAGCUACGAACUGAUCCGCUUGGUACCAUUUUGUGAUACUCAGAAGAGACAAUAUAGCCAUAUUACCAUAAAACUGUUUAUAUAAUAGACUCAGUUUAAGACUUGCAUCAUAUGGGUGUAUGGAAUGUAUUAAUAAGGAUAAAGCUUUUGUAAGACAUUGAGAUGCUAUGUACUGAUGUAAUGUGAUAUAAUUGUAUUUCUGUAACCAAAUCUAACUCAGUCAUAGGCACGCCCCCAGGGACCCAUACAGGACCAGGCGUCAUUUGACAAGCUGUUCUAUGGGCACUAUAAAACACCCCCGGAUUUACAUUUCUUCAGACCAGGCCUACACUCCGUUGGCUAAUAGGUUUUACCUUCCAAUUCCUCUACUGAAAGUGAACCAUACCACGUGGUUAACUUCUAGACUAUCGAUACUGACAGAAUAAGAACAAGUCUUUGAUAUUAAUUAUUAGUCUGCAGCUAAGUAAAUUAUAUCAUUGAACGCGAAGACCAACGAAACAACCAUUCGAUGACGACAUUAAUGAAUGUCGCUCUGAAAGAUCCAUUCUAACCGAGAGAGAGAGAGAGAACGCGGACAAAACUUCCCAACAGAACCGAACUCUCCAACAAAGAACGACGACACACUGAGCGUAAAUAUAUAUUGAUUGCAAUUGUUCCCGAAUGAGUGAGCCUUCAAUUGUCAAUUGUUAAUAUUAAUGAACUCUGUGUAACUGCCACAGCUGACCGUUUAUGAUCCAUUGUUCAACAGGCCGACCUGCCUGUUUAGCCAACAAGGGCACAUUCCGAUACCAAUCC